CCUAAACCUGUACUGUAAUGUGGGAUUUACUAGAAGAGCAUGGGUGGUGUUCGAGGAGAAGUUAAAAUCCUAGAGGGAGGAAGACGGGAAAGCCCGUGCUACUUGUGUUGUUUCCAUUACAGCGAAUGUCUCUGUGUCAUAAAAAUAAGACUUGAAACCCCAAGGUGGAAACGUUCAAGCGGAAUCUGAUAGAGAUAUAUUUAGGAGCAGCUAAAUUAUCAGAAUGAUUUUUGUAUCCGUUUCAUUAAAGGACCUGGCCUGUUAAAGUGGGUCUAAACCCAUCGUUGAGGAAUAAAACAUUUUCUUUAAGUCUUCCAGUCAUUCAACAAAUGUAAAUGGAAAACUUUCCAUGUGCUAGGGCCUGCACAAGGCACGACAUUCUAGACAUCUGAAGGAUCAAAACUUUAAUAAUUUUUAUUUUCAAGAUAACUAUUCAAAACAUGUUAAAUACUAGGUGCCUUUCAUGAACAGGAUAUUUCAAGGUGUUAGCUGUGCAAAAUAUGCAUGAAAACGAGGGGAGUUAAAUUCCCUUUGUGAGGCCCAAUUACAGAACGAAAUUAAAGAAACCCAAUUCAUUAUUACAAUACGUUUAUCUUAAAGGAAAAGGGAAUAUUCAGGAAAAAAAAUUAAAGAAUAGAGAAAUAGAAGUGAAGAACAUAGUGGGAGUUACUGUGGGCUCCGGAUGGUGUACCGUUUUAAUCACCAAAGGAACCUAAACAUCAACUCAUGAGAAGCUUUGAGUGAACUACAUUUUUUUUUUACUUCCCAUUUGGAGGGAAGUCACCAGUGACCUCCUUAUAGUAUUCACCAUGAUUAAAGAGAUGGAAAGAUGUCCUACUGACUCCUGAAGCAGAAUGUCUUCAUGGUGAUAGAGUCACUAUGAGUCCAGGUACUCUAGAGGUUAUUCUAAAGCCCCCACAGGAUCCAGAUGGGAAAAUAUGGAAAAAGCAUAAACUCUGGAAUACAAAGAUCAGUAUUAGCGUGCCACAUCUUGGCUGUAUAAUCUGAAAGAAGCUGAAGAAAACAUCCUUUUAUGUGUAACCCCUCGAUGCUUUUACUCCUAUGGGAUAUAAAGCAGAUGUGGCAU